rnacentral:rRNA from 1 species
GGCGGCGCGCUUAACACAUGCAAGUCGAACGGAGCUGAGAGGAGCUUGCUUUUCUCAGCUUAGUGGCGAACGGGUGAGUAACGCGUGAGUAACCUGCCCUGGAGUGGGGGACAACAGUUGGAAACGACUGCUAAUACCGCAUAAGCCCACGGAUCCGCAUGGAUCUGCGGGAAAAGGAUUUAUUCGCUCUAGGAUGGACUCGCGUCCAAUUAGCUAGUUGGUGAGGUAACGGCCCACCAAGGCGACGAUUGGUAGCCGGACUGAGAGGUUGAACGGCCACAUUGGGACUGAGACACGGCCCAGACUCCUACGGGAGGCAGCAGUGGGGGAUAUUGCACAAUGGGGGAAACCCUGAUGCAGCGACGCCGCGUGGAGGAAGAAGGUUUUCGGAUUGUAAACUCCUGUCGUUAGGGACGAUAAUGACGGUACCUAACAAGAAAGCACCGGCUAACUACGUGCCAGCAGCCGCGGUAAAACGUAGGGUGCAAGCGUUGUCCGGAAUUACUGGGUGUAAAGGGAGCGCAGGCGGGAAGACAAGUUGGAAGUGAAAACCAUGGGCUCAACCCAUGAAUUGCUUUCAAAACUGUUUUUCUUGAGUAGUGCAGAGGUAGAUGGAAUUCCCGGUGUAGCGGUGGAAUGCGUAGAUAUCGGGAGGAACACCAGUGGCGAAGGCG